UGUCUGCUGGUUUCAGGUACUGCCUUU
rnacentral:sRNA from 1 species